rnacentral:rRNA from 1 species
GUCAAAGCGUUCAUUAAAGUCGAGUUGGCUUAGGGAUACGUUCGUUGGGUAGGGGAGCGUUCUGUAAGCCUGUGAAGGUGUGUCGUGAGGCAUGCUGGAGGUAUCAGAAGUGCGAAUGCUGACAUAAGUAACGAUAAAGCGGGUGAAAAGCCCGCUCGCCGGAAGACCAAGGGUUCCUGUCCAACGUUAAUCGGGGCAGGGUGAGUCGACCCCUAAGGCGAGGCCGAAAGGCGUAGUCGAUGGGAAACGGGUUAAUAUUCCCGUACUUGGUGUUACUGCGAAGGGGGGACGGAGAAGGCUAUGUUGGCCGGGCGACGGUUGUCCCGGUUUAAGCGUGUAGGUGUGUGUUCCAGGUAAAUCCGGUUCACUUUAACACUGAGGCGUGACGACGAGGCACUACGGUGCUGAAGCAACAAAUGCCCUGCUUCCAGGAAAAGCCUCUAAGCAUCAGGUAACACGAAAUCGUACCCCAAACCGACACAGGUGGUCAGGUAGAGAAUACCAAGGCGCUUGAGAGAACUCGGGUGAAGGAACUAGGCAAAAUGGUGCCGUAACUUCGGGAGAAGGCACGCUGACACGUAGGUGAAGUGAUUUACUCAUGGAGCUGAAGUCAGUCGAAGAUACCAGCUGGCUGCAACUGUUUAUUAAAAACACAGCACUGUGCAAACACGAAAGUGGACGUAUACGGUGUGACGCCUGCCCGGUGCCGGAAGGUUAAUUGAUGGGGUCAGCGUAAGCGAAGCUCCUGAUCGAAGCCCCGGUAAACGGCGGCCGUAACUAUAACGGUCCUAAGGUAGCGAAAUUCCUUGUCGGGUAAGUUCCGACCUGCACGAAUGGCGUAAUGAUGGCCAGGCUGUCUCCACCCGAGACUCAGUGAAAUUGAACUCGCUGUGAAGAUGCAGUGUACCCGCGGCAAGACGGAAAGACCCCGUGAACCUUUACUAUAGCUUGACACUGAACAUUGAGCCUUGAUGUGUAGGAUAGGUGGGAGGCUUUGAAGUGUGGACGCCAGUCUGCAUGGAGCCGACCUUGAAAUACCACCCUUUAAUGUUUGAUGUUCUAACGUGGACCCGUAAUCCGGGUUGCGGACAGUGUCUGGUGGGUAGUUUGACUGGGGCGGUCUCCUCCUAAAGAGUAACGGAGGAGCACGAAGGUUGGCUAAUCCUGGUCGGACAUCAGGAGGUUAGUGCAAUGGCAUAAGCCAGCUUGACUGCGAGCGUGACGGCGCGAGCAGGUGCGAAAGCAGGUCAUAGUGAUCCGGUGGUUCUGAAUGGAAGGGCCAUCGCUCAACGGAUAAAAGGUACUCCGGGGAUAACAGGCUGAUACCGCCCAAGAGUUCAUAUCGACGGCGGUGUUUGGCACCUCGAUGUCGGCUCAUCACAUCCUGGGGCUGAAGUAGGUCCCAAGGGUAUGGCUGUUCGCCAUUUAAAGUGGUACGCGAGCUGGGUUUAGAACGUCGUGAGACAGUUCGGUCCCUAUCUGCCGUGGGCGCUGGAGAACUGAGGGGGGCUGCUCCUAGUACGAGAGGACCGGAGUGGACGCAUCACUGGUGUUCGGGUUGUCAUGCCAAUGGCACUGCCCGGUAGCUAAAUGCGGAAGAGAUAAGUGCUGAAAGCAUCUAAGCACGAAACUUGCCCCGA